rnacentral:rRNA from 1 species
CAGUAGCCGCGGUAAUACGGAGGGCGCGAGCGUUACCCGGAUUUACUGGGCGUAAAGGGCGUGUAGGCGGCCUGGGGCGUCCCAUGUGAAAGGCCACGGCUCAACCGUGGAGGAGCGUGGGAUACGCUCAGGCUAGAGGGUGGGAGAGGGUGGUGGAAUUCCCGGAGUAGCGGUGAAAUGCGCAGAUACCGGGAGGAACGCCGAUGGCGAAGGCAGCCACCUGGUCCACUUCUGACGCUGAGGCGCGAAAGCGUGGGGAACAAACCGGAUUAGAUACCCCCGUAGUCCCUGUCUCUUAUAC